rnacentral:rRNA from 1 species
AGAACGAACGCUGGCGGCAUGCCUAAUACAUGCAAGUCGAACGAACUCUUCGGAGUUAGUGGCGCACGGGUGCGUAACGCGUGGGAAUCUGCCCCUUGGUUCGGAAUAACAGUUGGAAACGACUGCUAAUACCGGAUGAUGACGAAAGUCCAAAGAUUUAUCGCCAAGGGAUGAGCCCGCGUAGGAUUAGCUAGUUGGUGAGGUAAAGGCUCACCAAGGCACGAUCCUUAGCUGGUCUGAGAGGAUGAUCAGCCACACUGGGACUGAGACACGGCCCAGGCUCCGUACGGGAGCCAG